rnacentral:rRNA from 1 species
UUAAGUUAAUAAGGGCGCACGGUGGAUGCCUUGGCACUAGGAGCCGACGAAGGACGUGACAAACGACGAUAUGCCUUGGGUAGCUGUAAGUAAGCGAUGAUCCAGGGAUUUCCGAAUGGGGGAACCCAACAGGUAAUACCUGUUACCUACAUCUGUUAAGGAUGUGAGGAGGAAGACGCAGUGAACUGAAACAUCUAAGUAGCUGCAGGAAGAGAAAGCAAAAGCGAUUGCCUUAGUAGCGGCGAGCGAAACGGCAGAAGGGCAAACCGAAGAGUUUACUCUUCGGGGUUGUAGGACUGCAAUGUNGACUCAAAGAUUAUAGAAGAAUGAUUUGGGAAGAUCAGCCAAAGAGAGUAAUAGCCUCGUAUUUAAAAUAGUCUUUGUACUUAGCAGUAUCCUGAGUACGGCGGGACACGUGAAAUCCCGUCGGAAUCUGGGAGGACCAUCUCCCAACCCUAAAUACUCCCUAGUGACCGAUAGUGAACCAGUACCGUGAGGGAAAGGUGAAAAGCACCCCGGGAGGGGAGUGAAAUAGAACCUGAAACCGUGUGCCUACAACAAGUUCGAGCCCGUUAAUGGGUGAGAGCGUGCCUUUUGUAGAAUGAACCGGCGAGUUACGUUAUGAUGCGAGGUUAAGUUGAAGAGACGGAGCCGUAGGGAAACCGAGUCUGAAUAGGGCGCCUUAGUAUCAUGACGUAGACCCGAAACCAUGUGACCUACCCAUGAGCAGGUUGAAGGUGCGGUAAGACGCACUGGAGGACCGAACCAGGGCACGUUGAAAAGUGCUUGGAUGACUUGUGGGUAGCGGAGAAAUUCCAAACGAACUUGGAGAUAGCUGGUUCUCUCCGAAAUAGCUUUAGGGCUAGCGUCGACAUUAGAGAUUCUUGGAGGUAGAGCACUGUUUGGGUGAGGGGUCCAUCCCGGAUUACCAAUCUCAGAUAAACUCCGAAUGCCAAUGAAUUAUGGUCGGCAGUCAGACUGCGAGUGCUAAGAUCCGUAGUCGAAAGGGAAACAGCCCAGACCACCAGCUAAGGUCCCAAAAUAAUUGUUAAGUGGAAAAGGAUGUGGGGUUGCACAGACAACUAGGAUGUUAGCUUAGAAGCAGCUAUUCAUUCAAAGAGUGCGUAAUAGCUCACUAGUCGAGUGACCCUGCGCCGAAAAUGUACCGGGGCUAAAACAAUUUACCGAAGCUGUGGAUACCUUUAUAGGUAUGGUAGGAGAGCGUUCUAUGUGUGAUGAAGGUAUACCGUGAGGAGUGCUGGAACGCAUAGAAGUGAGAAUGCCGGUAUGAGUAGCGAAAGACAGGUGAGAAUCCUGUCCACCGUAAGACUAAGGUUUCCAGGGGAAGGCUCGUCCGCCCUGGGUUAGUCGGGACCUAAGGAGAGACCGAAAGGUGUAUCCGAUGGACAACAGGUUGAUAUUCCUGUACUAGAGUAUGUAGUGAUGGAGGGACGCAGUAGGCUAACUAAAGCAGACGAUUGGAAGAGUCUGUCUAAGCAGUGAGGUGUGAAUUGAGUCAAAUGCUUAAUUCUAUAACAUUGAGCUGUGAUGGGGAGCGAAGUUUAGUAGCGAAGUUAGUGACGUCACACUGCCAAGAAAAGCUUCUAGCGUUUAAACAUACUCUACCCGUACCGCAAACCGACACAGGUAGUCGAGGCGAGUAGCCUCAGGUGAGCGAGAGAACUCUCGUUAAGGAACUCGGCAAAAUGACCCCGUAACUUCGGGAGAAGGGGUGCUGACUUUAAGUCAGCCGCAGUGAAUAGGCCCAAGCAACUGUUUAUCAAAAACACAGCUCUCUGCUAAAUCGUAAGAUGAUGUAUAGGGGGUGACGCCUGCCCGGUGCUGGAAGGUUAAGAGGAGUGCUUAGCGUAAGCGAAGGUAUGAAUUGAAGCCCCAGUAAACGGCGGCCGUAACUAUAACGGUCCUAAGGUAGCGAAAUUCCUUGUCGGGUAAGUUCCGACCCGCACGAAAGGCGUAAUGAUUUGGGCACUGUCUCAACGAGAGACUCGGUGAAAUUUUAGUACCUGUGAAGAUGCAGGUUACCCGCGACAGGACGGAAAGACCCCAUGGAGCUUUACUGCAGUUUGAUAUUGAGUGUCUGUACCACAUGUACAGGAUAGGUAGGAGUCUAAGAGAUCGGGACGCCAGUUUCGAAGGAGACGCUGUUGGGAUACUACCCUUGUGUUAUGGCCACUCUAACCCAGAUAGGUGAUCCCUAUCGGAGACAGUGUCUGACGGGCAGUUUGACUGGGGCGGUCGCCUCCUAAAAGGUAACGGAGGCGCCCAAAGGUUCCCUCAGAAUGGUUGGAAAUCAUUCGCAGAGUGUAAAGGUAUAAGGGAGCUUGACUGCGAGAGCUACAACUCGAGCAGGGACGAAAGUCGGGCUUAGUGAUCCGGUGGUUCCGUAUGGAAGGGCCAUCGCUCAACGGAUAAAAGCUACCCUGGGGAUAACAGGCUUAUCUCCCCCAAGAGUUCACAUCGACGGGGAGGUUUGGCACCUCGAUGUCGGCUCGUCGCAUCCUGGGGCUGUAGUCGGUCCCAAGGGUUGGGCUGUUCGCCCAUUAAAGCGGCACGCGAGCUGGGUUCAGAACGUCGUGAGACAGUUCGGUCCCUAUCCGUCGCGGGCGUAGGAAAUUUGAGAGGAUCUGCUCCUAGUACGAGAGGACCAGAGUGGACUUACCGCUGGUGUACCAGUUGUCUUGCCAAAGGCAUCGCUGGGUAGCUAUGUAGGGAAGGGAUAAACGCUGAAAGCAUCUAAGUGUGAAACCCACCUCAAGAUGAGAUUUCCCAUGAUUAUAUAUCAGUAAGAGCCCUGAGAGAUGAUCAGGUAGAUAGGUUAGAAGUGGAAGUGUGGCGACACAUGUAGCGGACUAAUACUAAUAGCUCGAGGACUUAUCCAA